rnacentral:rRNA from 1 species
GUGGAUUAGAUACCCGGGUAGUCCACGCUGUAAACGAUGAUUACUCGAUGUUGGCGAUACACUGUCAGCGUCUUAGCGAAAGCGUUAAGUAAUCCACCUGGGGAGUACGCCCGCAAGGGUGAAACUCAAAGGAAUUGACGGGGGCCCGCACAAGCGGUGGAGCAUGUGGUUUAAUUCGAUGAUACGCGAGGAACCUUACCUAGGCUAGAAUGCGCGUGACCGGUUCAGAGAUGGACCUUUCCUUCGGGACACAAAGCAAGGUGCUGCACGGCUGUCGACAACU